rnacentral:lncRNA from 1 species
ACUUACAUCGUACCAAGGGCACAGCAAGUGGACUAAAUAAAUUAUUCCUUGGGUUUUUUCUUUCCAGACAUAAAUAUUUUUUUUUUCAAAUUUAUUUUAUUGAGGUGAGAUUGAUUUAUAAAAUUAUAUAAAAUUCAGGUGUAUAUCAUUGCAUUUCAACUUCUGUAUAGGCUGCAUUGGGUUCACCAUCAAAAGUCUAGUUUCCAUCUGUCACCAUACAUAUGUGCCCCUUUACUCUUUUCACCCUCCCCCACGCCCUGCCCCUCUGCUUAUUUCUUCAUUCAUCCAUCCACCCACCCAUCCAUCCAUCCAUCCAUCCAUCCACCCAUUCUAAGCUAAAGGACUAUUCCCUAAGUCCUUUCUGUGUGCAAAGCUUUGUCCUAGGCACUGAAAGUAUCUGAAAAUGGGAAAAACAGACAAACACAGGGAAAGAGAUCCUAAUAAUUCCGGCUGACAGAAAUAAGUAAGGUGCUUCUGCAGUUGGUUUAUUUUCAACUUAUAAACAGAUUCUUGGUUGCUGAACUGGUCUUAGAUUUCUAACUUUCUAGAUUUACUUGAGGGCUUUGAUUCACCCUCCCAAAAAGAUCAUUUAACUGAAACUUUGGAAUUGACUAUAGGCUACAAGAAGGAUUCAAAGGAGAGCGUAUUUGCUGAAGGAAAUGUAACAGCAGUGCUAGAGCUUAGAGACAAAAUAUUUGGGGGGCUGGAAGCAGUCACCAGAACUCUACCUUUCAUUCUUAGGAGGUUCACACUGUCUUGUCAGGCACAAAACAUCAAAGUCUUUGAGACAGAGGUCAGGAAAUUGAGUGUUUCAAGCCUCAUUAAAGAGUGUGACAAUUAUAGGAAAAGAGAAAUGUACUGAAAAUAGGCCACAAUACUUAUCCCCAGACACAAAUGACUAUGUAGUUGCCUCAACCUGUUAAAAAAUAAUUACCAUCCAAGGGAAAGACAUUGUCAUGGAGAGACAGUAUGCACAAUGAACCCAGCCAAUUUUUGCAAAGAGGGCAGGAGGAGGAGGAAGCUUAAGGAGAGGGCUCGAUUAACAGCCAGUAUUCGCUCUGCUGAGGGCUCUCUGGCAUGGUCCUGGGGUCUUAUUAUCAUCUCCCCUGAGAGGGAAUCUUGCCAGACUCUCCUUCAGCAGCUUAUCCUCUGCAAUACUGCCGUGGUAGCUCUGAAUUCAGUCACAGCCAGACACCAUCAGAGCCAGAAGAUUAAGAGGCAGUUGAGGAGCCCGCCAAUGAUACCCUAAAAGUGCAGCGUAGGCUUAUUUGCCUGACUGUGGUCACUUGGAAUUGAUUCCUUGAAUUUUUUGCUGUAAAAGGAUGCUAAACUUCACAGCUUCCAAUAUCCUUCCGGUUGCAACCAAGAGAGCUCCUUGGCCUGUCCCAUCAUGCUGAGGAAAUGGUGAGCAAUGAGAGAUAAGGAAUCUGGUGGCCACAGUAGGUUCUCAUUCUAAUCCUUUGUGACUCUCUUUUUUCAAUCCAAAUUCCAGAGCUGGUAUGGUUGCUUCUGCUACUACAGUUCAUAGCUCCGUUUACAGGACACUGACAAAACGUUUGAAGAGGACCGAGCCAUGAACAGAAUUUGAGAGCACUACUCCAGAGGUUUCUUUAACGUGACCUGGCUUCUUUUAGCUGAAGACAUUCUGUGUUGAUAAUACGCAAAGUACUCAAGGCCAGUCCCAAAUAAAAUAAUCAAGGGCUUCCAGAUUUCCCUUUCUUCUCCGUGUCUUCCCUAACUUCAAGGUCCGUACAGAAUCAUAUCACAUGCAGAAGCUCCUAUGGCCUCCAGGAGGAAACAAUCAGCACAUGGACACGAAAA